CCUGGCUCAGAACGAACGCUGGCGGCGUGCUUGAUACAUGCAAGUCGUGCGAGAAAGUCACCUUCGGGUGGUGAGUAAAGCGGCGAACGGGUGAGUAACACGUAAGAAACCUGCCCCUAAAUCCGGAAUAACAUUGCUAACGCGGUGCUAAUACCGGAUGUGGUCUCCAGUUUGCAUGAACAGGAGAUUAAAGGUGACCUCUACUUGUAAGUUAUCGUUUAGGGAUGGUCUUGCGGACCAUUAGCUUGUUGGCGGGGUAACGGCCCACCAAGGCUGCGAUGGUUAGCCGGCUUAAGAGGGUGAUCGGCCACAUUGGGACUGAGAUACGGCCCAGACUCCUACGGGAGGCAGCAGUAGGGAAUUUUGCGCAAUGGACGAAAGUCUGACGCAGCAACGCCGCGUGAGCGAUGAAGGUUUUCGGAUUGUAAAGCUCUGUUGAGUGGGAAGAAAACUCUCCGGGAUAAUACCCCGGAGACUUGACGGUACCACUCGAGGAAGCCCCGGCUAAAUACGUGCCAGCAGCCGCGGUAAUACGUAUGGGGCAAGCGUUGUUCGGAAUCACUGGGCGUAAAGGGAGUGUAGGCGGAAAGGUAAGUUAGAAGUGUAAUCCACGGGCUUAACCCGUGACUCGCUUUUAAUACUGCUUUUCUUGAGUAUGGGAGAGGGAGAUGGAAUUCCAGGUGUAGCGGUGGAAUGCGUAGAUAUCUGGAAGAACACCAGUAGCGAAGGCGGUCUCCUGGCCCAAUACUGACGCUGAGGCUCGAAAGCGUGGGGAGCGAACAGGAUUAGAUACCCUGGUAGUCCACGCCGUUAACGAUGGACACUAGAUGUUGGUCUCUUCGGGGGUCGGUGUCGUAACUAACGCGUUAAGUGUCC
rnacentral:rRNA from 1 species